rnacentral:rRNA from 1 species
GACGAAUACAGAUUCGGCGUGCUUAACACAUGCAAGUCGAACGAUGAAGCUGGAGCUUGCUCUGGCGGAUUAGUGGCGAACGGGUGAGUAACACGUGAGCAACCUGCCCCUGACUCUGGGAUAACAGCCGGAAACGGCUGCUAAUACCGGAUAUGCACCAUGAACGCAUGUUCUGUGGUGGGAAAGAUUUUUCGGUUGGGGAUGGGCUCGCGGCCUAUCAGCUUGUUGGUGAGGUAAUGGCUCACCAAGGCGCCGACGGGUAGCCGGCCUGAGAGGGUGACCGGCCACACUGGGACUGAGACACGGCCCAGACUCCUACGGGAGGCAGCAGUGGGGAAUAUUGCACAAUGGGCGAAAGCUGAUGCAGCAACGCCGCGUGAGGGAUGACGGCCUUCGGGUUGUAAACCUCUUUUAGCAGGGAAGAAGCGAGAGCGACGGUACCUGCAGAAAAAGCGCCGGCUAACUACGAG